UCUGUUGCGGCUACUGCAACCAGCGAAGUAAAGCAGUCAGAGCAGUCACAAACAUGGCUGCUUCCAUGGAGAUUGAAAUAACCUUGAUUGAUGCUGAAGAAAAUAAAGCGUAUAAUAUAUAUGCCAGCCAUUAUUUCAGUUAGAGCUUCAGAAAACAUACUGCAACUGCGUUCCGCUUUAUAAUCUUGAAGCAGUUAAAAAGCGCAUGAAACUAAAACGGAACGAUAGCCACAGUACACUUUCAUUACGUCUUGAGAACUUGGAGUGAAUAAAGGAACGCAUCCAGAGACUGGCCACGAAAAAGCAACUUUUGAUUGGUCCGUCAUCUUUUGACUAUUCCCACCUUUGAAUAUAGGCAUGGAGGGGGAAUAUUGGCACCGAAAGCACAGUAUAUACAGUAGCGCAACUCUCCCGAUUUGGGCAACUCUCUCGAGCGUAUGUCAAAAGGAACUGCGCGCGCGAGAGAAAGAAGGGAGGAUGUGCGUCAUG